rnacentral:rRNA from 1 species
UACGGAGGGGGCCAGCGUUGUUCGGAAUCAUUGGGCGUAAAGGGCGCGUAGGCGGCUUGGUAAGUCCGUUGUGAAAUCCCUCGGCUCAACCGAGGAACUGCGACGGAUACUGCUUGGCUUGAGUCCCGGAGAGGGUAGCGGAAUUCCCAGUGUAGCGGUGAAAUGCGUAGAUAUUGGGAGGAACAUCGGUGGCGAAGGCGGCUACCUGGACCAAUAUUGACGCUGAGGAGCGAAAGCCAGGGGAGCAAACGGG